rnacentral:rRNA from 1 species
UUGACCUCAGAUCAGGCCAGAUUACCC